rnacentral:piRNA from 1 species
UGAGUGAGACGGCUGAGAGCGCUGGCGUGU